GUCUCUAUUACAAUUAGGCUUCCAUUGCAAAAAUCCCGACGGAUGGAGGCAAAACAGAGAGAUGGAAAUUUCUAAGGGUGGUUAUCCCUCUCUAUUUGCCUGUGAUUUCACUAUCCACAAAAUCUAACUGCCCUUUUAUACUCGGGUUUCUGAGCGUAUAUAUUCGGGGAAAAUUUCACCAAUGGUCACUGAAGUUUUAGCAAAACAUAAGAGCCUGCUUGGGAGUUUAUGAGUACCGGUUAUGGGGGUUUUAAGCAGCUCUUUGUUUGAUAAAGCCUUUUGAGAUUGCUGCUGCUGCUGCUGCUGCUCAUACUUUGUGUAGGCUGUGAGGAUUCUUUUCGUUGAGUUGGGUCGGGCAAGGAAAAUUCGGAACCGUAUCUUGGCGGGGCAAGCCUUGAUGGCGUUGUGAGGAGGGAAAUUGACUGUUCUCUCUCUCUUUCUCGUUCUCUCUCUCUCUCUCUCUCUUGCAUAUGCAACAAGGCUUUUGCAGCCAUGGCGGUGCUGGAAUCUCCUUGCCUGUUGUUUUUGCAGAUCUGAGCCUCACGCAGGCUGUGAUGAUUAUUUUGUUCGAGUCAGGUCAGGCAUAAGGAAAUCUGAUCCGUAUCUUGGCAGAAACCCGGAUGGCGUGUGGAGAACGGAUAUGAACUUUGUACUUUCCCUCUUUCCGAUAUGCAAAUUGGGUUUUGUAGCCAUGGCGGUGUCUUUCUCCCAGUGCCUGUAGUAUUUCCAGAUCUGAGUCUCACUUAUUUUUAUUUUAAAGCUUACUCAUUACUUAUAAACCUUUUAACUUAGCCAGGCAUCGUUGGAAAAAUCCCCACUCAAGAAUGAGCUCCUUCUAUGCAAAUGAUUUCACCUUCCACAAAAACCAACAGCCUUUUUAUGCCACCAGUCUCUUGGAUCCUGACCAGUGUGUGUAUAUGCUGUGUAAAGCAUUGUUGGAUUACCUUUGGCAGGAAGGAUUAGAUUGGAUAGUGUUGAAAAAGGGGGAAAAAGCAUCAUCUUUCUUCUUUAUACUCUUCUUUCACACUCCAUAUCAACUAUAAACAAACAUGCACUCAGGCACUGAACUUUGUUGAGGUUGCUGAUGCUACUGUAGGAUUGGAUUGCUUUGCUAGAAGGGAGAUUGAAGGUGUUUUCUCUCUCGUAAAUGCAACUUGUCCUGAGCCUACCCCUGCUUAUUUACUUAUAAGCAAUCUUUUUAAGUUCAACUUGUCAUGGUUUUGUGUGGUUUAUAUUGGCUUGGAUUCUUCAACCUCAUUGGUUAACUUUUGGGUCUGGCUCUCCCAAUUGAGCGUGACAUUUACUUAUAAGCAAUCUUUUUAAGUUUAGCCAAACAUAGUAGUCUUCAUUGCAAAAACCCCAACUUUAAGAAUUAAUGAGACUAACUGAGGGAUGGGAUGUUUUCUAAGGCCAGUUACACCUCUCCACAUGCCAAUGAUAUGACCAUCUACAAAAGUGAUCAGACCUUUUAUUCCACUCGAUCUUGUUGUUGAAACUGCCUCAACUUAAACUUUUCAUGAAAGUUAUUAAGAGAGAGAGAGAGAGAGACACAUGUAUUAAAUUAAAUUUAGGCUUCAACAUUUCUUCACGUUCAGAGUGGAUUCAAUUUUUUAUGAUAACAUGAUGAGAUUGAAUUCAAGAUCUCUAAACCAACUCAUCCAAAAUGAGAUUGAAUUCAAGAUCUCUAAACCAACUCAUCCAAAAGUAUAUGGCAAAUUGAAAUUAGAUUGAUGCCACAUGUACAUGGAAAAUGUACAGACGGAUUUACAUAAUGUCGCAUGACAACAUUUCAUUGGAUUUUGAACAGAAAACGUAGUUAAAAUAGCCAAUCAUGUGUUGCUAUUUCAGUACCUGUAAAAUUGCCUAAGCAUUUCUCCUAUACAAGUAUCAUUUCUGUUGAAAUUAUCCGAUACGUGAAUCUUCUUGUAAGCAGCAGCAGUAGAUCACUUCUAUGUAUUCACAUUUCAUCCAUGGGAUUUUCAUGAGCCUCUGUUCCUUUUCCAUCGUAUGAUUUUGUAUGUUUUUGCUGCUGUGUAGGCUCUGUUGAUUUUGCAAAUCUUAGCCUGUUAUUUUAUGUUUCUUCUUGCAUAGCUGUGAUUGUGAUUGUGAUUGUGAUUGUUCAUACUGUUGUUGCAUUGUGUUCAGAUGGGCGAAUGCUAUGUUGUGUAGGUAAGUCGUGUUGCAUUAUGUGAUGUUUGUCUGUGGUUCAGGCGUGUGUAUAUGUUGUAAUUUAUCCAAGCGUGUAAUUUUUAUUGUGUCUUUUAAAUCUUCAAAUUGGUUUGAUUUUGAAGUGGUAUAUUUAUAGAUGGUGUCAGUCACUUCUCUCGAGGUCAAUUUUAAUUUUGUCUACAACAUUAUUUAGCUUCCGUUUGUUUUCCAUUAAAAUGAAAAAUAUGAUUGUUAUCCAUUACAUUAAGUCAUCAUAUUUGAUUUUAUAUCUCUUGUGUGGGAUCCGUAAUGACUAUAUUUUUCAUUUUUAUUUUUACAUUAAUGUGUACCGAAUGGGGCCUCAAUAAUCUUCGAUAAAAUGACUAAAAUGUUGUAGACAAAAUUAAUUGAGUAUUUGAUUUUAUAUCUUUUGUGUGGGAUCCGUAACGGCUAUAUUUUUCAUUUUCAUUUUUACAUUAGUAUGUACCAAACGUGGCCUUGAAACUCAAUUAAUUUUGUCUACAACAUUUUAGUCAUUUUAUCGAAGAUUAUUGAGGCUGUCAUGUAGUUUUUAUCAGGUUGAGAAGCAGAUUUCACCUUAUAACAAUCACUGAUUCUACCAUGGAAAUCGAUGUACAUUGAUCUUGUCUUGAACGUGGCUAAAGUGCGGUGGUUCAAUGGCAGGAUAAGGUUUCAACGAGUUAUAAUGUAUAUGAUUUGGAUGUCCAGUUCAAGUGAGGAUGAAAGAAAGGGCUAAACGCAGUCAUUUGUGUUUGUCUGAAUAUAUGACUAUGUUGGUAACAAAUAUUGUGAUCAUCCACUUCCUUAAUUUGCUAAAAGGGUCCAAAACUUUGAAUUGGUGACAGAAAAUUGUCACUAGACCCUAUAAUUUAAUUUUCGUUCAAUGAAGUACAAUGGCUUUCAUCGAUUAGGAACACGUGCACUAAUAAGACUAGAUAGAGAAAUGGGAGUUUAUGACUUGAAUGAAUCGAUAGCAAUGGAUUAGUGGAAUGAGGGAUUAAGAGCUGGAUAGAGGGGUGCCUAUUUAUCAUUGUGUGUGAGGAUUAAAUGUAUUUUUAACAUGUUUUUAAUUUAUUUAUCGUAUUUUAAUUUUUCUU